rnacentral:lncRNA from 1 species
GGAAAAUUGAAGAUUCAGCCACAAAAUUUAUUUCAGAAUAACAAUAAAUUAAUUUAUAGAGAAGUAAUGGAUCCAUCAUCGCACACUUUGUGUACUAUGAAUAUUGGGAGUUCGUUAUAGCAGCUCAAACACGUAUGUGUCAUCUAUUUGAAGUUGUUUCUCUCAGGCAUAUUGUGAACAACUUGUGGUGAAACAUCGUACGUCACCAUUUGUUGUCAAACUCAUAGAAACAGUGUAGUUGAAAUGCGGAUAGUCAUGGAUUCGAACACUUUGUAUAAAUUUGAGUAGAUAUUCUCCACUGAAUCUUGAAAGUACAUACUAAAAAGUAAAAUAAAAAUGAGCGAAAAAUGGAAUUUAAAAUUGUGGAAACAUCAGUAAAAGAAAACUUACAAUUUUGAGACUGUCAUUAUGUUUGAAUAUUAGUCUACGGACAGAAUUUCCUAUAUGGAAUGUCUCUUCUUCAACAACUUUGAAGUCGGAGUGGCAUGUAUCAUAAGCUACUUCUAACCGUGAAUCGUCAAAUAUUGAAAUAUUAAAGGUAGAAUUUUCAAUAUAUUCGAACACAAUAACAUAACCAUCUUGUAAAUUGCGAUGGUCGAAGAAUUGUUCACAUCCACCAGCUAAAUAAAUGUUAUUGUGAACUCUUUCUAGUUGUAUGGUAGCAAUUAUACCAUUGUAUCCAAUUAGACAUAUUCUGUUGGCAAGUUCGUGUCCUGAUUCAACAAAAGAUCUUGGAAGCAAUUAUACAAUGAAAAAUAAAAGUAUUUUUAGCUGAUAUAUGAUUUUAUUAGUUUUAAGAAAAUAUAAGCAUUAUAAUAAGACUUAUCAAUUGAAUGUUAUAAUUAAAGAAGUGUCAACAAUUCGAAAGAAAUGGUGUGGUACAUCCAUGCCUGACAUGAUAAAGAUUAGUGACCAAAAAGACACAAAUUUAGCAUUAACAACACAAAUUUAGGUUGAGUGAUAAUUACUUCAAAAUUGAAAAGGCCACAAGCAUGAGAAAAAACUUGUAAUUUUGUAAAUGCAUUGUCAAAGAAAUCUGUGUUUUUUCCUCUGGUAUAUUUAUCUCCUAUAAACUUACUUUCUUCACUGAUUUUCCUGAGAGGGAAUGUCAAUAGUAUAGAAAAUAACGUGUAGUUGAUGAAAUUAGAUAAAAGAAAAUUACAAGCAGAAUUUCAUUAAUCAUAAUAUUAUUAUAUCGACUGAUUAUAUAUACAUAGGAAAACAUUCAAUAUGUAGAAUUUGAAGUUUCAAAUCUCGAAAAAUCAUCAAAUGAUUUCACACAUUCAGGUUUUCAAUAUGAAGUUAUUAAAUAUAACAAUUAUAAUUUAGCUAAGUAGAGAGAUUUUUAUUAAUGGAUAAGAAUCAAACUUCCAACCAAUGUAAAACUUAAAUUAAAUAAAAUACCUUCCUUCUGUAGAUUUGGUUUGUGGCUGUGCUAACUUUAGAUGGAAGAGGUGAAAUUUGUUCCGUAAGUUGAAAGAUGAAAGGGAUUAAAUGAAAUAGUGGAAGAAUAAGAAGUGACUUUUGACAUGUAUUUUGUUUGGAUUCUUUGGCAGGAUUCUUUUUUUUUUUUUUCAUAGGUUACUUUUAU